rnacentral:rRNA from 1 species
AUUGAACGCUGGCGGCAUGCCUUACACAUGCAAGUCGAACGGCAGCACGGGUGCUUGCACCUGGUGGCGAGUGGCGAACGGGUGAGUAAUACAUCGGAACGUACCUUAUCGUGGGGGAUAACGCAGCGAAAGCUGUGCUAAUACCGCAUACGCCCUGAGGGGGAAAGCGGGGGAUCGCAAGACCUCGCGCGAUUAGAGCGGCCGAUGCCUGAUUAGCUUGUUGGUGGGGUAAAAGCCCACCAAGGCGACGAUCAGUAGCUGGUCUGAGAGGACGAUCAGCCACACUGGGACUGAGACACGGCCCAGACUCCUACGGGAGGCAGCAGUGGGUAAUUUUGGACAAUGGGGGCAACCCUGAUCCAGCAAUGCCGCGUGAGUGAAGAAGGCCUUCGGGUUGUAAAGCUCUUUUGUCAGGGAAGAAACACCGGCUCUAACACAGUCCGGGAAUGACGGUACCUGAAGAAUAAGCACCGGCUAACUACGUGCCAGCAGCCGCCGCCG